AGGCAAGAUGUUGGCAUAGCUGUUAACCUAAAAACCUGCUAUGCCAACAUAUUGUCAUC
rnacentral:pre_miRNA from 1 species